UACAGAGGGUGCGAGCGUUGUUCGGAAUUAUUGGGCGUAAAGGGCGCGUAGGCGGUGCGGUAAGUCACCUGUGAAAUCUCCUGGCUCAACUGGGAGCUUGCAGGCGAAACUGCCGUGCUGGAGUGUGGGAGAGGUGCGUGGAAUUCCCGGUGUAGCGGUGAAAUGCGCAGAUAUCAGGAGGAACACCGGUGGCGAAGGCGGGUCUCUGGGCAGUAACUGACGCUGAGGAACGAAAGCGUGGGUAGCGAACAGG
rnacentral:rRNA from 1 species